rnacentral:snoRNA from 1 species
UGUCCUCAAUUUCUGUUUAAAAAUAAUCCAUCCAAGUGUAGGUAAUGUGCUACAUGAGAGGUAAGUUUUUUAGUAACACCAGAAGGGUUUCUGGCCCAAUGAGUGGAGUUUGAUAAUAACACUUGCUACAAGU